GCACUCUAAGCUGACUCGGUAGUAGCGACGGCCUGAAAAGUCGUAGGACUUGGUUCGACUCCAAGAGAUUGCACCA
rnacentral:tRNA from 2 species